rnacentral:tRNA from 1 species
UCCCUCGUAGUUCAGUCGGUAGAACGGCGGACUGUUAAUCCGUAUGUCACAGGUUCAAGUCCUGUCUUUGGAU